rnacentral:rRNA from 1 species
CUACAGAACGAACGCUGGCGGCGUGCUUAACACAUGCAAGUCGAACGCGAAAGGGACUUCGGUCCUGAGUAAAGUGGCGCACGGGUGAGUAACGCGUAGAUAACCUGUCUUCAUGUCUGGAAUAAUACGCCGAAAGGGGUACUAAUACCGGAUAUUCUUGCUUUUCAUAAGUUAUGCAAGCAAAGGUGGCCUCUGCAUAUGCUACUGCAUGAAGAGGGGUCUGCGUACCAUUAGCUAGUAGGUGGGGUAAUGGCCUACCUAGGCGACGAUGGUUAGCGGGUCUGAGAGGAUGAUCCGCCACACUGGCACUGGAACACGGGCCAGACUCCUACGGGAGGCAGCAGUGAGGAAUAUUGCGCAAUGGGGGAAACCCUGACGCAGCGACGCCGCGUGAGUGAGGAAGGCCUUCGGGUCGUAAAGCUCUGUCAAGAGGAAAGAAGUGUACAAUGGCUAAUACCUGUUGUAUUUGACGGUACCUCUAAAGGAAGCACCGGCUAACUCCGUGCCAGCCGCCGC